UUUGUAAAUCAUAAUUCCAAGAAAUUUGUGUUUCAUAUUUAUCAAUGUUAUACAAUAUGCUCUCAACCAAUCCAGAAGAAACUCUCAGAAAUCCAAUGGAUAGAUUGGAAAAUAAUCAAAAAUAUGUGUUAAUUAAAAGAAAGGACUUUCCAAACUGCUUGAAAGUGAAAAAUACACAAUCUGGCCUGCUCUAUUUGGCAUACAUUAAAACACUGUCUGAUAAGGAUAAAACCUAUAGUAGAGAGAGAGAGAUUCCCACUAGAGCACCAAUUCCCAACAUUUUUUUUCUCUUGUGCAUCCCCUUGAUUAGGGUUUCCAUUUAUGAGUA
rnacentral:lncRNA from 1 species